rnacentral:misc_RNA from 1 species
AGAAGUCGUAACAAGGUUUCCGUAGGUGAACCUGCGGAAGGAUCAUUGAAUAUGCAAACCACAACACGCACUCUUUUAUUUGUGUACCGACGUUAGGUCGAACCACUAACCCUGGUUUGGCCUACUAACCUACACACACACCAUUGACCAACAUUUGAUUAAACCAAACUCUGAAGUUUCAGCUGCUGUUAAUCGGCAGUUUUAACGAAAACAACUCUCAACAACGGAUAUCUUGGCUCUCGCAACGAUGAAGAACGCAGCGAAAUGCGAUACGUAGUGUGAAUUGCAGAAUUCCGUGAACCAUCGAAUCUUUGAACGCAUAUUGCGCUCGACUCCUCGGAGAAGAGCAUGUCUGCCUCAGCGUCGGUUUACACCCUCACCCCUCUUCCUUAACAGGAAGCUUGUCGUGCUUGCUCAAGCCGGCAUCAGGGGUGGAUCUGGCCCUCCCAAUCGGACUCACCUCCGAUUGGGUUGGCUGAAGCACAGAGGCUUAAACUGGGACCCAAUUCGGGCUCAACUGGAUAGGUAGCAACACCCUCGGGUGCCUACACGAAGUUGUGUCUGAGGACCUGGUUAGGAGCCAAGCAGGAAACGUGUCUCUGACGCGUAUCUCUGUAUUCGACCUGAGCUCAGGCAAGGCUACCCGCUGAACUUAAGCAUAUCAAUAAGCG